CGUAGUCUCUCUUCCAUCCCCUGCUUCGGUAGGCUAAGAAGAAUCAAGGGGCUUCUGCUUUUAGGGGCCGGGGACGCUCUUGGGGAUACGACGGACGCCUGCGACGAUAAUGACAGCAGACGGGUCGGUUCAUGAAUUUCUUCCGGGGACUGGGCUCUCACUUCUCUCUCACGAGAUGCUUGUUGUGUUGCUAUCAGCCUGAAUAAACGCUCCGACCCGUGCGCGGCGCAUAUACGGCGCACGUCCAUCCGUCCCGUCUUGAAACACGGACCAAGGAGUCUAGCAAGUGCGCGAGUCAUAAGGGUCCACUAAACCUUAGAUGGCGUAACGAAAGUAAUGUAAAUGGUUGAGCGACUACUUAAGAGUUGAAGGGUUUGGUGCCUCGCGUAUCUCUCUCUUCUUCUCUUUUUUUUUCAAUCGCCAUUAUGGGUUUUUGUUUACAAACAACCUAGUUGGACCGAUACCCUCGUAAACGCCGAGGCGACCCUUUCACGAGGGCGUCUCGGCCGCUUACUGAAUAUAGAGGGUCGCAGGUCCGGGGCCCGCCAUAUUAUCCUCUCUCCCUUAAACCGGAAAAUCAUUCCAAUGGCAUAAUAAAAAAAAGAGAAAGAAGAUAGGCGGGUUCCAAGAGCGUACGUGCUAGUACCCGAAAGAUGGUGAUCUAUGCCUGGCCAGGA
rnacentral:rRNA from 1 species